UACGUAGGGAGCGAGCGUUGUCCGGAAUUACUGGGUGUAAAGGGAGCGUAGGCGGGACGGCAAGUCAGAUGUGAAAACUGAGGGCUCAACCUUCAGACUGCAUUUGAAACUGCUGUUCUUGAGUGAAGUAGAGGUAAGCGGAAUUCCUAGUGUAGCGGUGAAAUGCGUAGAGAUCGGGAGGAACACCAGUGGCGAAGGCGGCCUACUGGGCUUUAACUGACACUGAGGCUCGAAAGUGUGGGUAUCAAACAGG
rnacentral:rRNA from 1 species